rnacentral:piRNA from 1 species
UCGUCACUUAAAAAACCCCUAAAUCUUGUG